AUGGCGGGAGGUGUUCAGAAGGGGACACAACGGACCCGCAGCGCAGUUUGGGUGACGCUCCCUCCUCCACCUCCCCCACCUCCCCCCCGUGCGCAUCCCUCUCUCCUCCGGACCGCAGCGCAACCUGCCCGACUUCUCUUUUCUUUUUUUUCUUUUUUUUUGGUGAAGCAAAAUGGCGACAGUGUGAACGAGGGGAAGACGGGCAAACGGCGUGACGGCGCAAUGGCAGCCGGGAGGAGGACGCGACUGGCCGUCCUGAGGUGAUUUCAGCUACCCAGGCGCCGGCCGGGUGAGACCGCUUGGGUCCACCGAGGCCCGAAUGAAGCACCAGGGCCGAGAGGGGCCGACGUCCCGGGCGCAGCGGUUAUGGAGCGCUUCCUCCACUAAGGGGCAGGAUCAGAUCACUGAUGCACUCGGCCCUCGCUCCAAGGGACGAGGCAUCGGAAAGCAGCGCCGGGAAAAGGUGCGCUGUGCAAUCUCAUUAAAAUGAGCUGAUAAGGAACAAACACACCGAAUAGAUUAAUAUUCAAAACUUUUAUUUAGAGGCUUGUCGUCAUAUUAAAAAGUGCCUGAAUAAAUAACAUGCCGUUCUGACUGAGGAAUAUACUGACAAUAGGAUAAUAAUACAAAUGCUGCCACAAAGCAAAAUUAACUAAACCAAUAAUUAAAUCCGGAUAUCCAGGGCCGCAUAUUUUUCCGAAUUCAAGGUAUGAUCAGAAUGCUGAAUCUGAAUNNNNNNNNNNUCAUCCCCUCAGAACAUCUCAGUCCAAACAGCGUCUAUCUCUGAGAUUGUGAUUAGCGAGCUUCUUUUGUGCAUGAGCUGCGAGGCGGCUAACCCUUCCUGUGAUGCCCAUCCCAGGUUGAGCUCGGCACUUUCCUCAUUAAUUUCCCACUUAUUCUCCGAGUCGGCUGUGAUAUUCACGCGAUCGCAGCAAUGCAGGGCACAGGUUAGGCGCGAUUAUGCUGACGCAGGGCUUUUUACAGCUAUGCUCAAUGAAAUGUGGAGUGCAGGAUUAGACGCGUAGGAAGUUAUAUAGUGAUUAACCUUCAUUUGAGUCCCCUCGGUGAUCUCUCCGGGGCAAAUCCUCCCGCCGUCAGGCUCCUUUCUCCGCCUUGAUGAGUGACCUUCAAAAUAUAAAAAAAAAAAAAAAGAUAGAUGGAGGCGUUGCUGCUUCUUUUUUACGCUUAUGGAGCAUUUGUUUGGCUAUUCGGGGCUUUCAAAUGCUUCCUUAAACCACACGCACCACUUUGAUUCCUUUUAGCCGCCAUUCAGAGGCAACUCAAAGUUUCCCACGUGGUUUCUGACCCCUGCAGGCGCCACGUAGCCGUGCGCCCAUAAGUUGUCCUGCUCAGUCAGGUGACAGGUGACUCCAGUACAGUGACGUGCGCUGAUGUCAGUAAGAGUUAUGGAAGCCAGAUUACACACACACACACACACAGUAGUUAUUACUUAAUGAUUAAUAAUUGCACACCGGCCAAUUAUUUCUGCCAGUCAGCGUCGAUGAAAACACACACUGCUGAAUAUGAAGGCAAAUGGCUUGUAGUCGCCAUUUAUUCAACCACACUCAUCAAGUCGAUAUUAAGCCCGAAAUAGUUUCUCACUCCUCAAUCUGUAGAUUAUUUGUACAUAAAAUCG
ensembl:lncRNA